rnacentral:rRNA from 1 species
UACGGAGGGGGGCUAGCGUUGUUCGGAAUUACUGGGCGUAAAGCGCACGUAGGCGGCUUUGUAAGUUAGAGGUGAAAGCCCAGGGCUUAACCCUGGAAUUGCCUUUAAGACUGCAUCGCUAGAAUCGUGGAGAGGUGAGUGGAAUUCCGAGUGUAGAGGUGAAAUUCGUAGAUAUUCGGAAGAACACCAGUGGCGAAGGCGGCCAACUGGUCCGGAUCUGACGCUGAGCGCGAAAGCGUGGGGAGCAAACAGG